rnacentral:lncRNA from 1 species
UGCCCUCUCUUCCCUACAGACUCCCUGCAGUAUCACUGGAAAGAUGCAGCCCCAGUGAAGCACAAGUGGAAGUCCCAUAUAGCACAGUGGAAGAUACAACACUCUUCACAUGAUCUUGGACAUAAAGGCGUCAGCUUCUUGCUCAGUGUUGGAUCUCAUGGAGUCAAACACUUUUCUGAGGGACAUUUUCCAUUGAAAACUCCGAUUCAAUAAUGUGAAAAAUUUUCUGCAGAAACAGCACCACUCCUACAUAGGGUUUUCCUUCAGGUUCCUGGGCAGACAAAGGAACAAGCAGAAUAUUGAUUUUGGCAACUUAGCUCUGCUGAAGCUGAAAAAUUCAGGAAUCCAUUCAGAAAGGGAAUGCUCCUGUAACUGCAGAAGAUUCUCAAAGGAAUAAUUCUAAAUGUGAUGUCAGAAGAAUACAAAAUGUACUAAUUGCAAACUUAGUUCUGACCCUGACUACUCAAUAUAACAAGACUUUGAAGGUUUGCAUGGUGGUAAACCUAAUUGCUAAGUUGCAAUGCAAGGUUUUCAUGCUGUGGAAUCUCUUCCAGGGAACAUACAAUUUGUCAAAAUUAAAGAGCACUAUAAUGUGAAU